rnacentral:rRNA from 1 species
UACGGAGGGGGGCUAGCGUUGUUCGGAAUUACUGGGCGUAAAGCGCACGUAGGCGGCUUUGUAAGUUAGAGGUGAAAGCCCAGGGCUUAACCCUGGAAUUGCCUUUAAGACUGCAUCGCUAGAAUCGUGGAGAGGUGAGUGGAAUUCCGAGUGUAGAGGUGAAAUUCGUAGAUAUUCGGAAGAACACCAGUGGCGGAAGGCGACUCACUGGACACGUAUUGACGCUGAGGUGCGAAAGCGUGGGGAGCAAACAGG